rnacentral:rRNA from 1 species
GUGGAUUAGAUACCCUAGUAGUCCACGCUGUAAACGAUGGAUACUAGCUGUUUGGAGCAAUCUGAGUGGCUAAGCGAAAGUGAUAAGUAUCCCACCUGGGGAGUACGCACGCAAGUGUGAAACUCAAAGGAAUUGACGGGGGCCCGCACAAGCGGUGGAGCAUGUGGUUUAAUUCGAUGAUACGCGAGGAACCUUACCAAGGUUUAAAUGGGAACUGACAGAGGUAGAGAUACCUCCUUCUUCGGACAGUUUUCAAGGUGCUGCAUGGUCGUCGACAGCU